rnacentral:rRNA from 1 species
UACGUAGGGUGCAAGCGUUGUCCGGAAUUUAUUGGGCGUAAGGAGCUCGUAGGCGGUUCGUCGCGUCGGCUGUGAAAUCCCGAGGCUCAACCUCGGGUCUGCAGUCGAUACGGGCGGACUGGAGUUCGGCAGGGGAGACUGGAAUUCCUGGUGUAGCGGUGAAAUGCGCAGAUAUCAGGAGGAACACCGGUGGCGAAGGCGGGUC